GACGAACGCUGGCGGCGUGCUUAACACAUGCAAGUCGAACGGAAAGGCCCUGCUUUUGUGGGGUGCUCGAGUGGCGAACGGGUGAGUAACACGUGAGUAACCUGCCCUUGACUUUGGGAUAACUUCAGGAAACUGGGGCUAAUACCGGAUAGGAGCUCCUGCUGCAUGGUGGGGGUUGGAAAGUUUCGGCGGUUGGGGAUGGACUCGCGGCUUAUCAGCUUGUUGGUGGGGUAGUGGCUUACCAAGGCUUUGACGGGUAGCCGGCCUGGGAGGGUGACCGGGCACAAUGGGACUAGGGGACGGCCCAGAGUUCUAAGGGGGGCAACGGGUGGGAAUAUUGCACAAUGGGCCGGAGCCCGAAUCCACAACGCCGGGGUCGGGAAGACCGCCUUUGGGUUGUAAACCGCUUUCGCCUGUGACGAAGCGUGAGUGACGGUAAUGGGUAAAGAAGCACCGGCUAACUACGUG
rnacentral:rRNA from 1 species